rnacentral:rRNA from 1 species
GACGAACGCUGGCGGCGUGCUCAACACAUGCAAGUCGAACGGAAAGGCCCUGCUUUUGUGGGGUGCUCGAGUGGCGAACGGGUGAGUAACACGUGAGUAACCUGCCCUUGACUUUGGGAUAACUUCAGGAAACUGGGGCUAAUACCGGAUAGGAGCUCCUGCUGCAUGGUGGGGGUUGGAAAGUUUCGGCGGUUGGGAAUGGACUCGCGGCUUAUCAGCUUGUUGGUGGGGUAGUGGCUUACCAAGGCUUUGACGGGUAGCCGGCCUGAGAGGGUGACCGGCCACAUUGGGACUGAGAUACGGCCCAGACUCCUACGGGAGGCAGCAGUGGGGAAUAUUGCACAAUGGGCGGAAGCCUGAUGCAGCAACGCCGCGUGCGGGAUGACGGCCUUCGGGUUGUAAACCGCUUUCGCCUGUGACGAAGCGUGAGUGACGGUAAUGGGUAAAGAAGCACCGGCUAACUACGUG